GACGAACGCUGGCGGCGUGCUUAACACAUGCAAGUCGAACGGAAAGGCCCUGCUUUUGUGGGGUGCUCGAGUGGCGAACGGGUGAGUAACACGUGAGUAACCUGCCCUUGACUUUGGGAUAACUUCAGGAAACUGGGGCUAAUACCGGAUAGGAGCUCCUGCUGCAUGGUGGGGGUUGGAAAGUUUCGGCGGUUGGGGAUGGACUCGCGGCUUAUCAGCUUGUUGGUGGGGUAGUGGCUUACCAAGGCUUUGACGGGUAGCCGGCCUGAGAGGGUGACCGGCAACAUUGGGACGAGGAUACGGCCCAGACUCCUACGGGAGGAAGCGGUGGGGAAUAUUGCACAAUGGGCGGAAGCCUGAUGCAGAAACGCCGGGUGCGGGAUGACGGCCUUCGGGUUGUAAACCGCUUUCGCCUGUGACGAAGCGUGAGUGACGGUAAUGGGUAAAGAAGCACCGGCUAACUACGU
rnacentral:rRNA from 1 species